rnacentral:tRNA from 1 species
GCAUUGGUGGUUCAGUGGUAGAAUUCUCGCCUGCCACGCGGGAGACCGGGUUCGACUCCCCGCCAAUGCA